rnacentral:rRNA from 1 species
AACACAGGUGCUGCAUGGCUGUCGUCAGCUCGUGUCGUGAGAUGUUGGGUUAAGUCCCGCAACGAGCGCAACCCUUGUCAUUAGUUGCUACAUUCAGUUGGGCACUCUAAUGAGACUGCCGGUGACAAACCGGAGGAAGGUGGGGAUGACGUCAAGUCCUCAUGGCCCUUAUAGGUGGGGCUACACACGUCAUACAAUGGAUGGUACAAAGGGUCGCCAACCCGCGAGGGGGAGCCGAAUCCCAUAAGCCAUUCGUAGUCCGGAUCGCAGUCUGCAACUCGACUGCGUGAAGUCGGAAUCGCUAGUAAUCGUGGAUCAGAAUGUCACGGUGAAUACGUUCCCGGGUCUU